ACCUAUUUUAUUCUGGUAGAAGGUAGUGUUUUAGGUAAGACUCUCAUAAGUAUAAUAUGUUGUUUUUGUUUUGGGAAGAGAUAUUCUCAUUAUUUAGAGAGGAAAAUUUUAACAAUCACAGUGAUGUGUAUUUGGUUACUUUAAAGAGAUUAAAGCUCAGUGCCAGCAUUCGCGGUUAAACUGAUUUUUUUGGACUCCUUUUAUGGCUUUAGUGAUUUUGGUAUUAUUUAGUUUCUUUUGUUUAAAUAUGUUAAGAAAUUUUUAUAGCUUAUUACCUGAUGGAUUUGUUUUUAAUAAGACAGGGAUUAGAGACCCCUUUAUUGAAAAUUUAAGUUUUUUUUACUACAGUUUUAACUGAAAGAAAUUGUCGGUUAGUUAUAUUUUUUUGGGGGAGUGUGUGACUUAAAAAGAUGAUCCACUUAAUAGUUUACCAAUUUUAAUUUAGUUAGUGUACAUCCGGUUAUAUGUCUUUAAUGUGAGUUUUAGUGCGUAAAAUUAUAUAAAAUUCAAUCCAGGUCAAUGUGCUGCUGAUAUUUUGGUUGUCAUUCACUACAAUUAUUUUAAUUUAGCUUCUUUAAUGGGGUUUUGUUUAGGACUCAAUUGUAAUGUUAUUUAGUUAGUUAACAUGAAACUGAUUUGAUUAGUGUACACAUUGCCCGUCAACUUCGAUGUGAAUUGAAGUAAGUCGUAACAAGGUAGCUUUAGGGGAAUCUGAAGCUAAAUAUUUAC
rnacentral:ncRNA from 1 species